rnacentral:rRNA from 1 species
CUCAGGUGGAUCCUGCCGGACCUGACUGCUAUCGGAUUGAUACUAAGCCAUGCGAGUCAUUGUAUCAAUACAUGGCGGACGGCUCAGUAACACGUUAGUCAACCUAACUCGUGCACGCCGAUAACCUCGGGAAACUGAGAAUAAACCGCGAUAGAUCAUUAUGCCUGGAAUGUCUUAUGGUCCAAACAGUUUACUGCCAUGGGAUGGGACUGCGGCCUAUCAGCUUGUUGGUGAGGUAAUGGCCCACCAAGGCUAUAACAGGUACGGGCUCUGAGAGGAGAAGCCCGGAGAUGGGUACUGAGACACGGACCCCGGCCCUAUGGGGCGCAGCAGGCGAGAAACCUUAGCAAUGUGCGAAAGCACGACUGGGUCAGUCCGAGUGAUUCCUGAUAAAGGAGUCUUUUAUCUGUCCUAAAAGCACAGGUGAAUAAGGGGUGGGCAAGUCUGGUGUCAGCCGCCGCGGUAAUACCAGCACCUCGAGUGGUCAGGACGUUUAUUGGGCCUAAAGCAUCCGUAGCCGGCUUUGCAAGUCUCCGGUUAAAUCCACCUGCUCAACAGAUGGGCUGCUGGAGAUACUACAAAGCUAGGGAGUGGGAGAGGCAGACGGUAUUCAGUGGGUAGGGGUAAAAUCCUCUGAUCCAUCGAGGACCACCAGUGGCGAAGGCGGUCUGCCAGAACACGUUCGACGGUGAGGGAUGAAAGCUGGGGGAGCAAACCGGAUUAGAUACCCGGGUAGUCCCAGCUGUAAACGAUGCAAACUCGGUGAUGCAUUGGCUUAUGGCCAAUGCAGUGUCGCAGGGAAGCCGUUAAGUUUGCCGCCUGGGAAGUACGGUCGCAAGUCUGAAACUUAAAGGAAUUGGCGGGGGAGCA